GCUUCACAACCUUGCCUAGGAGGGAAGGGGUUCUUGAUUCAGUUAUUUCAUUAACUGAGGAUGAAAAAAAAGAUGGAGGAGCAGACUCUGGGGUGAUGACAUUAUGAGCUUGUUUAUGGACCCUCUCCAAGCAGAAGGCUGGAUUUAGAUACGGCUAGUGAGCAUUUGAAACCUCAAGCUGUUGGAAACCUUCCCCCGAAGGAGAGAGGACGUGCCUUUUCAGACCAUAACUCAGCAGACAAAGGAAUCAGCAUUACGAACUGUGUUUUCUAGGUGGGCGGGGCGGGGAAAGGAGAGGGAGGGAGCCAGGGAGGAUGAAUUAAAGCCGAAUCAAUAGGUGGGGCUUUGUUAAUAGAGAAAUCUAGAGCAGGCGGGCGCAAGUGCAGAUGGCGGAGCGGGGGAAGGGCAGGCACCGGAGAAAGGGCGCUUGCUUGUAUGAUGGUUAAUUCCACACUCCCGUCAUUUUUUUUUUUUUUUUAUUGUCAUGAUGUAAUUUGCAAAGUCAUCUCGCAUAUCUCCUCUAUACCUGCCUUUGGAAAAAGGGCAAUAUGCUCUUUCCAUCUAUGGCUACAACACACAGAAACUUCUUGAUUCUGGGUCCCAGGAAGCAGCAUUUUCAGUAGUA